UACGAAGGGAGCUAGCGUUGUUCGGAAUCACUGGGCGUAAAGCGCACGUAGGCGGAUGUGUCAGUCAGGGGUGAAAUCCCGGAGCUCAACUUCGGAACUGCCUUUGAUACAGCACGUCUUGAGUCCGGAAGAGGUGGGUGGAAUUCCUAGUGUAGAGGUGAAAUUCGUAGAUAUUAGGAAGAACACCGGUGGCGAAGGCGGCCCACUGGUCCGGUACUGACGCUGAGACGCGAAAGCGUGGGGAGCGAACAGG
rnacentral:rRNA from 1 species